rnacentral:lncRNA from 1 species
GGCUAGACUGGGCAUCAACUAUAUUUAACAAGUUAUAGUAAGCCUUUUUCUUAUAAGAAGUACAAUAUUAUUAUAUGUGUCCCAUGUUACAGCAGAAGUUGAAAAUAGAAGCAAUAAUUUUUAUAUUGUCUUUUCUUUCAAAGAAAUAUAUUUAGAAUAAUCCUGGUUGCUAGGAGGAAUUUCCUUACCACUCCUUAAUUAUAUGAGCAGACAGAUAAUACUUUUGAAUUUACACUUUUAUUAUUGGAAUCCUCUGAAUAUGUAUAAAUCCUCUGAAGAUAUAUAAAUCUCUUGUAUUAGAUUCCUUGUGUACCUCUCACAGUAAUUACAGGUGACUAACGCAAGGUCAGCUUUCUGUGUAGGGGAGAAAUGGGCUGAAAUGGCCCUCCAUCAGAUUUCUGUAUUCUAAUAUUUCUUAAAUUGCUAGUGAUCUCCCUAGACACACUGUUGAGAGGAUACUGGAAAGUGAGUGAAUAAGUGGGAUUGUUGCCACAUUAAAC